GAUGAACGCUGGCGGCGCGCCUAAUACAUGCAAGUCGAGCGAACAGACGAGGAGCUUGCUCCUCUGACGUUAGCGGCGGACGGGUGAGUAACACGUGGAUAACCUACCUAUAAGACUGGGAUAACUUCGGGAAACCGGAGCUAAUACCGGAUAAUAUAUUGAACCGCAUGGUUCAAUAGUGAAAGACGGUUUUGCUGUCACUUAUAGAUGGAUCCGCGCCGUAUUAGCUAGUUGGUAAGGUAACGGCUUACCAAGGCAACGAUGCGUAGCCGACCUGAGAGGGUGAUCGGCCACACUGGAACUGAGACACGGUCCAGACUCCUACGGGAGGCAGCAGUAGGGAAUCUUCCGCAAUGGGCGAAAGCUUGACGGAGCAACGCCGCGUGAGUGAUGAAGGUCUUCGGAUCGUAAAACUCUGUUAUUAGGGAAGAACAAAUGUGUAAGUAACUAUGCACGUCUUGACGGUACCUAAUCAGAAAGCCACGGCUAACUACGUG
rnacentral:rRNA from 1 species